UUGGCAGCUUGCUCGAAUUUUCAAAGCUUUUUAGGCCUUGGUAUUUUUAUUUAUUUAUUCCCUGCAAACUGAAGAACGGCUUCUUGACCUGGCCGGUAUAACUGUAGGCACUUUGAUGCAUUCUUUAGGUCAAACCACAGAGCAGCUAUAGGCUGGAAAUUAGAAUAGCGUACAAUGCAUGUAAACAUAAGGAGAUGUGACUCAAUGAUGUUUUCAAUGGGAGGGGCUAGGACUCGCCUGCAGUUUUAUUGAAUCAGUCUCCUGCGUCUGACUGCGCUCCUCUUCGCUCUCUCUGCGCCUGUUUCCAAACCCGUCCAAGCACAAAUUUGUUCCACGGCGAUCCAGGAAUCACCCCGCAGUCCCACACACAGAGGCUGAGCAGCGGCCGUCUCACCUGGCAGACCCACCCACUCUCUGAGACUCCUCCAGCGUGAUCGUGACAGCCAUCCUCCAGGACCCAGCAUGGACGAGGACUUCGAGCGUCGCAGGGAGCUGCGGAGGCAGAAGCGUGAGGAGAUGCGCCUCGAGGCGGAGAGGCUGAGCUAUCGGAAUAUCGAAGACGACGAGGAAGAGGCCGCUCGAGAACGCCGCCGCAGGGCCCGUCAGGAGCGACUGCGCAACAAGGACAGCGAGGAGCCGGUCGCCGCGGUGAUGGACAGCACGGAGCUCAACAGCAACAGCAUGGCAGAGGCGGAAAGGACCGGAAGCUCUGUGAGCUCGGGAGCAGCCAGCGAGGAGGACCAGGCCCUGCAGGAGCGGCUGGCCAAGCGGGAGGAGCGCAGGCAGAGGAGGCUGCAGGAGGCGAUGGCCAGGCAGAAGGAGCUGGAUCCCACCGCCACUGACGGCACAGAGAGCAACCAGGAGGAGAGGCACCGCGACGCUGAGGAGGAACAGGAGCCCAACGACAAGGCCCCCGAAAACAACGCCUGGCAGGAGAAAGAGGAGGAGAUGAAGGAGGCGAGUGAGGAGGAUCAGAGGGAGGAGGAGGAGGCAGAGCCAGAGGAGCCGGAAGAGGAAGUGGAGGAAGAGAUACAGGAGGAGGUGGAGAAGCCCAGAAGAUCCUACCUGAGAGAGGAGGAAGUGGUGGAGGAGGAGACGAGACAGUCAUUUAAGAAAGAAGAGGAAGUUGCUGAGGAAAAGCCAUGGAGAUCAUUCAAGAGGGAAGAGGUGACCAAGGAUGAGGAAGUCACUCCACAACCAAAACAGCACAAUGGAGCUUUCCAUGACAACACCACUGCCAAACACAAGAAGCCAGAGAGGACCUCAAGCCGUGGGAACCUGCGUUCGCCAGAGGCAGAGGACUCAGAAGAUGCCGCCCGACUGGAGGCGGAGCGCAAGCUGGAGGAGCUGAAGCGUCGCCGUGAUGAUGCGGAGAGUGAGGAGUUUGAGAGGAUGAGGCAGAAGCAGCAGGAGGCGGAGGCGGAGCUGGAGGAGCUGAAGAGGAGGAGAGAGGAGAGGAGGAAGGUGCUAGAGGAGGAGGAGAGGCAGAGGAAGCAGGAGAUGGAGGAGAAAAAGGCCAGAGAGGAGGAGGAGAAGAGGAAGAUGAAGGAGGAGAUCGAGAGGAGACGGGCGGAGGCAGCCGAGAGGAGGCAUAAAGUGGAGGAAUCCGCUGACGGGGAGGACAAGAAGCUCUUCAAAUGUGUCAGCCCGAGGGGAUCCUCCCUGAAGAUUGGGGAGAGGGCAGAAUUUUUGAACAAGUCAGCCCAAAAAAGCACUGUGAAGACGUCACACAUACCCGUUGUCUCCAAGAUCGACAACAGGCUGGAGCAGUACACCACAGCACUUCAGUCCAACAGGGAGGCCAAGUCCCCGCGCUCCGCAGCUGUGGACCUGCCCACGGUGACCGACGGCAUCCGCAACAUCAAGAGCAUGUGGGAGAAAGGGAACGUGUUCGGCUCCACCGGCAGCGCGGCCAGCAUCAACAAGGAAGCAGCUGCCAUUAAGGUGGGCGUGGCCGGCCGCAUCAACGACUGGCUCAACAAAACCCCGGACAGCGGCAAACCGACGGGAGGGAGACCUGUUGACCUGAAGCCCGGUGAUGUCACCAACAAACGCAGCCUAUGGGAAAACAAGAGCUCCUCCCCUGCCAAGCCCUCUCUCAGUUAGCUGACUUCACCUUUAAAUCUGGAUGAGCAAAAGAGAUUACGGUUGGUGCGAAGAGUAAAGCAGUCAACAAUGCAGGAAUGGGGCACUAACCGUGCGAAGAAGCUGAGAAGGCCAGAACCAACAAAAUGCAUGAGUCCUUUUUCCUAUGUAUAUUUCCAAGACCAAAUAGGAGGGGUGAGAGGGAGUGGUUGCGUAUUUGUAAUUCCAGGGGGGUGGCUUACAAAAGGAAACAAGAUGUAUAUUAGCACUGUAUUUAAAACCCACAGUCUUAUAGGGCCAUGUUUAAAGUAUAUACUGGCUUUGCACAAGACCUUAUACCUUCCUUAGAAAAACUAUGCUGUGAAGUGUGAACCUUUAAAAUGACUAUAUAUUUUUACUGGUUUUAUAUGAAACUGCAGAAUCAAAUGAAAGGAAAUGUAUCUCACCCUUCUGGUGCAGACUUUAUUUCUUUUAAAUUAAUUAUUCUAUUCUGAAUCUGUACCCUAAAAGAAAGUGUCACAGGGCACUACAUAUAUUCCAUGUUUUACCAUGUUUAAACCAUGAUUUUGUCUUUUAAAGACCAUGUUGUCUUGAGUAUCGAUCUCAGUUCUAGUGUUAGUCAAGCAGUGCUUUAGAUUGUAAUUUCAUUUAGGUCAGUUAACAGUGAACUGAUAUUAGUAAUUUUCUAAAAGGGUCAGCACAGAGAUAUGAAUUCAUUGCUUCAAAGUGUUUUGCUUCAUGGUGCUUUUGGUGGUUAAAUGGGCCAAACUUAUAUGUUAGUACCUAUAUUUAUUAUUGAAAUUUUCCAAUAUAUCUCACAAGUUUUUAUUUGAUAUCUGUGCACAUAUUUUGUAUUCAGAGUAACUACAAGCCAGUAAUAGCAUUUAUGGAAAAGUACAAAGGUUACAAAGGUCAUUAAAGUACAGUUUUUUGUAUGACAUUUUAAUUAUGUGGAUGGUAGAUAUUUUCCUGAUGUUUUCUCCCUCAGCUGGAUAUGGAGUGAUUUACCUCUCCAUACUUGAUUUUUUUUUCGAAUGGUAUUUCUUGACAGUCCCCAGUUUGAGUGACACAAGCUGCAGUCAACUCCCAAUCAUCCAGGCUAAUAGAGGGGAGCUCUGGAAUGGAUAAGUAAAAACAUGUCCAGCCUGCAAACUGUCAUUUUAAGUAUUUGCCUUUUAUAUUGAAUAACAUUAAAUAGACUGCUAGUUGGGGAACUAGCUAACAAUCCAUUUGAAUACUGUACACAAAUCUCAAUUUGAAAGAAUAAUACCACAUAACUAACAGCAUCUAACUAAUGUUGCCAUGUAUCAUAACUUGCUUACAGGUUGCUAGCUAGCUAGAUUUGAUGAAUAUUUGUGAAACAAUCAGCUGUGUAAUGUGGCUGUAUUUUAUCUUACCGUUUUAUUGGUUGCAUAAUUUGCUGUCUUCCUCUGUGAAGCCGUAUCUGUUUGAAUACCUACAGAGUGUUAGACUUGCCCCUACACCUAGCAUGAACAAGUGGAGAAGGCAAAAAAAACAAAAAAAACUUAACAAAAACCGUAAACAUCUUCAACCAAAGGCACUGAUGAUCCAAAAACAAGAUAAUCAGGAGCUGACUGUAAUUCCAUUUCAAAAGAAGCUCAACACUUUACUCUUUACUAUGCAGAUUGAAGGCCUAAACAUGCAGCUGUUUCACCUGCCGAUAAACAUUCCAUGGUGUGGGCCUCACCUCUCUUUAUAUACAAAAAUGUUUGACGACGCUUAGUGACAGCAAAGGCUGAUAUUAUAGACGUGAGCAGAAAUCUCCAGUAAUGUACUUCACUGAUGUGUUUCUGCAUUGCCUGAUGAACAUGCAUGGAAGCAAGCUGCAGAAUUUUUUUAAUUGCAUUGCAUUUCCUGGAAGAGUAGUGUGCAUCCAUCAAAAUGUACUCAUCAAAGUGGUGACUGUUCCACAUAUGAGCAAAAUGCUCAUGCAAGCCUUGAUAUCAGACUCAAACUGCACUUGCUGCAGAUCACACACUGCCUUGUGUAUUUCAAUAGCCACUGAGGAUCUGCAUAAAACGCAAACAGACUUAAAUGUGACAGCCCCAUGUUCACCACAAGAAUGUGUCUUUGAUAGUGUUACUGUGUGAAUGUGUUUCUGCAUGCAAUUUCUGGAAUGUUGUGCCAAGUUCUGCGCCAGUUCUCAAACUGAACCAAAGUUUUAUUUCUUUGAAACAAUUAGCCAUAAAAAGACUCUUGAGAGAAGUUGCUGUUAUCUCACUUUUGACUAUUUCUUACUGCCAUAUUGAGAUCCAAGACACUACAAAACUAGAAGUUUGUGACAGGAAAUAAGAUGUGGCUGAAAUGAUUUGUGUUGAAAACUGAAUAUACCUCUCAGAACAACAUCAUCGAUGUGAGAAGGGAAUAUGUAGAAUUGACAAUGACUCGAAAUCUGGUACGUUUAAAGGGGAAAAUAUCUACUUAAUUAUUAUUUUGAAAGUAAAUAAAGUUGUACAACCAGAAUUAAACUUUUAAAUAACUUAAUGUGUGGACUAGGGUCAGGUUUCAGGUCCAAAGUUCAUUUAAGAAGCCCAACAUGGUUUCUAGGCUUUGUCCACACUAAUGUAGUUAGAACAACAUCUGUGUAGUACCGUUCCUGAAUUGGAUGCAUUGUACAUUCAGUAGAUGGCACAUUAUACAGCCAGUCUGUGAAAUGUAUUCAGAUCCAGAUAAGAAACUACACACUGCUUUUAAUCCCUUGUUACUCUUAUAGUUCAAAGAACUAUAAGAGUAACAAAGAACUUCUGUUCUGAUGUCAGCUUCUUCAAUAAUUUUACAUUGAACAGACAAACAGUGUCUUGUUAUUUUAACAUUAACAUGCAUAUGUAGAGUACAGUGCUAAAUUUUCAAUAAAUACAUCUUAAAUACAUUUUAAGUUGGGUUCUGUCAAUUUGGGUUUUUUCAUAUAUGCAAUUGUGACCGUUCCAAGAUCUGCUCAGCACUGAGCACAGGAGCUUAAACAAUCCCAUCCAAAGACUUACUUCAGCUAUGCUAUGAAAACAUUUGAAAUUGUUCUGGUUUUUUUCUGUGUUCAUGUAUUGUGUAGGGAAAAAACUAUGCAAAGUGCAUCUUUACAUAAUCUGCAUCUUCUGUUAUGUUAUACACACUCUGGGUAUGUGUAUUGUAGUGGAUAGCUUCAUACAAGAUGAAUGUUUAAACAUUAUAUCAUUGACUCUGCAACAACAAUAAACCCAUAAAUGUCCAAAA